rnacentral:rRNA from 1 species
GUGGGGAAUAUUGGACAAUGGGCGAAAGCCUGAUCCAGCCAUGCCGCGUGUGUGAAGAAGGUCUUCGGAUUGUAAAGCACUUUAAGUUGGGAGGAAGGGCAGUAAGUUAAUACCUUGCUGUUUUGACGUUACCGACAGAAUAAGCACCGGCUAACUUCGUGCCAGCAGCCGCGGUAAUACGAAGGGUGCAAGCGUUAAUCGGAAUUACUGGGCGUAAAGCGCGCGUAGGUGGUUUUGUAAGUUGGAGGUGAAAUCCCCGGGCUCAACCUGGGAACUACCUCCAAAAAUGCAUGACUAGAGUACGGUAGAGGGUAGUGGAAUUUCCUGUGUAGCGGUGAAAUGCGUAGAUAUAGGAAGGAACACCAGUGGCGAAGGCGACUACCUGGACUGAUACUGACACUGAGGUGCGAAAGCGUGGGGAGCAAACAGGAUUAGAAACCCCGGUAGUCC